rnacentral:rRNA from 1 species
UGCCAGCAGCCGCGGUAAUACAGAGGGUGCAAACGUUGUUCGGAAUCACUGGGCAUAAAGCGCACGUAGGCGGCUUGGUAAGUGUGAAGUGAAAUCCCACGGCUCACCCGUGGAACUGCUUUGCAUACUGCCAGGCUUGAGGACGGUAGGGGAGAGCGGAACUCUUGGAGGAGCGGUGAAAUGCGUAGAUAUCAAGAGGAACACCAAUGGCGAAGGCAGCUCUCUGGUCCGUUUCUGACGCUGAGGUGCGAAAGCUAGGGUAGCGAACGGGAUUAGAUA